rnacentral:rRNA from 1 species
UACAGAGGGGGCAAGCGUUGUUCGGAAUUACUGGCGUAAAGGGCGCGUAGGCGCCUUUCUAAGUCGAACGUGAAAUGCCCUCGGGCUCAACCCAGGAACGUGCUCCGAUACUGGAAGGCGUUGAAUCCGGGAGAGGGAUGCGGGAAUUACCAGGUGUAGCGGUGAAAUGCGUAGAUAUCUGGAGGAACACCGGUGGCGAAAGGCGGCUA